rnacentral:rRNA from 1 species
UGGGGAAUUUUGGACAAUGGGCGAAAGCCUGAUCCAGCAAUGCCGCGUGUGUGAAGAAGGCCUUCGGGUUGUAAAGCACUUUUGUCCGGAAAGAAAUCCUUGGCUCUAAUACAGUCGGGGGAUGACGGUACCGGAAGAAUAAGCACCGGCUAACUACGUGCCAGCAGCCGCGGUAAUACGUAGGGUGCAAGCGUUAAUCGGAAUUACUGGGCGUAAAGCGUGCGCAGGCGGUUUGCUAAGACCGAUGUGAAAUCCCCGGGCUCAACCUGGGAACUGCAUUGGUGACUGGCAGGCUAGAGUAUGGCAGAGGGGGGUAGAAUUCCACGUGUAGCAGUGAAAUGCGUAGAGAUGUGGAGGAAUACCGAUGGCGAAGGCAGCCCCCUGGGCCAAUACUGACGCUCAUGCACGAAAGCGUGGGGAGCAAACAGGAUUAGAUACCCUGGUAGUCCACGCCCUAAACGAUGUCAACUAGUUGUUGGGGAUUCAUUUCUUUAGUAACGUAGCUAACGCGUGAAGUUGACCGCCUGGGGAGUACGGUCGCAAGAUUAAAACUCAAAUGAAUUGACGGGGUCAUAGCUGUUUCCU